rnacentral:misc_RNA from 1 species
UCUCAUUUCUGACAACAUCAUCGUUCGCUUCAAAAUUUCCUCUUCUUCCUGCACCGGCUCUUAACAUCUCCUCCAUGUCGUCAACCACCCCGAUGAAGUCGCCGCCGGUCGCCAAGAAGGUGGACCAUGUGAUGGAGUUGUUUCGAGAUGUCAGAGUGGACCACCACUACUGGCUCCGCGAUGACUCUCGCUCCAAUCCUGAGAUCCUUUCCCACCUCCAAGAGGAGAAUGCCUACACCGACUCCUUCAUGUCUGGAACAAAACAAUUUGAGCAGCAGCUUUUCGCUGAAAUAAGAGGGCGAAUCAAGGAGGAUGAUAUAUCUGCACCAAGAAGAAAAGGGCCUUACUAUUACUAUACAAGGACUUUGGAAGGGAAGGAGUAUGUUCAGCAUUGCCGUCGCUAUACAUCUAAUAACGAAGUCCCACCUUCAGUCUAUGAUGUAAUGCCAACCGGACCUAAUGAUCCUCCCGAGCAUGUUAUACUGGAUGAGAAUGUCAAGGCUCAAGGGCAUGAAUAUUACAGCAUUGGUGCUUUCAAGGUUAGUCCAAAUCAUAAACUGGUUGCAUAUGCAGAAGACACCAAGGGAGAUGAAAUUUACACUGUUUAUGUCAUUGAUGUGGAGACUCAAUCUCCUGUUGGGAAGCCUCUGACAGGUGUAACAUCUUCUCUUGAGUGGGCUGGCAAUGAUUUUUUGGUUUACAUCACAAUGGAUGAGAUACAUCGGGCUGACAAGGUGUGGUUGCAUAAGUUGGGGACAGAUCAAUCAAGUGACUCUUGCCUUUAUCAUGAGAAAGAUGAUAAAUUUGGUUUGGAUCUUCAAGCUUCAGAGAGUGAAAAGUAUUUGUUCGUUGUAUCUGACAGCCGAAAUACAAGGUUUGUCUUCUAUAUUGAUGUUUCCAUGCCUGAAGAUGGUGCCAAGUUUUUGACACCUCGUGUAGAUGGCAUUGAUACAUCAGUCAGCCAUCGUGGAAAUCAUUUCUUUGUUCGGAGGAGAACUGAUGAGCUUUUCAAUUCAGAGCUCCUAGCCUGUCCAGUGGACAACAUUUCUGCAACUACAGUUCUUAUUCCUCACAGGGAAAGUAUAAAAAUUUGGGAUGUACAACUCUUUGCUGACCAUCUGGCUGUGUAUGAGCGUGAAAAUGGUCUACCCAAAAUAACAGCAUAUCGCCUUCCAGCUAUUGAUGAGCCACUUACAAGUCUUAAAGGAGGUCGGGCUGUUGACUUCGUUGACCCUGUAUAUUGUGUGGAUUCAGAAGAAUCCGAGUUUUCUUCCAGCAUUUUGAGGUUUUCAUAUAGCUCAUUGAGGACACCUCGUUCUGUGUAUGAAUAUGAUAUGAAUACAGGCACUUCUGUUCUGAAGAAGGUUGACAUAGUCUUGGGAGGUUUUGAUUCAUCUAAUUAUGUUACUGAAAGAAAAUGGGCCACAGCUUCAGAUGGGACCCAGAUUCCUUUGUCAAUUGUUUACAGGAAGGAUCUUGUGAAACUUGAUGGUUCUCAUCCAUUACUGCUUUAUGGAUAUGGUUCAUAUGAGAUGAGCAUAGAUCCCACAUUCAAGGCAUCAAGGCUGUCUUUAUUGGAUCGUAGCUUUAUCUUCGCAAUAGCUCACGUUCGUGGAGGUGGUGAAAUGGGGAGGCAGUGGUACGAGAAUGGAAAGUUGUUGAAGAAAAAAAAUACUUUCACAGAUUUCAUUGCCUGUGCAGAGUAUUUAAUAGAACAGAAGUACUGUUCAAAGGAAAAAUUGUGCAUUGAAGGAAGGAGUGCAGGGGGAUUGCUUAUUGGUUCUGUUCUUAAUAUGAGGCCUGAUUUGUUCAAGGCUGCUAUUGCUGGGGUACCUUUUGUGGAUGUUCUGACUACUAUGCUUGAUCCAAGUAUCCCUCUUACAACUGAAGAGUGGGAGGAAUGGGGAGACCCUCAGAAGGAGGAGUUCUACUUCUACAUGAAAUCAUAUUCCCCGGUUGAUAAUGUUAAUCCUCAAAAUUAUCCCCACAUCCUCGUUACAGCUGGCUUACAUGAUCCACGGGUUAUGUAUUCAGAACCUGCAAAAUUUGUGGCAAAGCUGAGGGAUAUGAAGACUGAUCAUAAUGUGCUGUUGUUCAAGUGUGAACUCGGCGCUGGGCAUUUUUCAAAGUCAGGAAGAUUUGAGAGGCUUAAAGAAGACGCAUUCACAUAUACAUUUCUGAUGAAGGUUCUAAAUAUGAUUCCUUACCUUGGUACUGGCCAGGAUGAGGAACCUGUGUGUAGGAGCAGUGCGAAUUCUGCAUAACCCCAACUUGGCAAGCAAUAGUAGCAGUUGAAAUGUAGUAAACAUUUGAGGAAUGCAAUUGGCAUUCCCAGUCUUUAGACUAGCAUUGGAUACUGGUAUGAUUUUCCUAAUGUAAUGCACAUUCAAGUGGGAGUUGUUGAAAUUGAAAAACACGCAUUACAAAAGUGCUGAUAAAUUAAAAUUAUAAGAUUAGCACAUCCAGGCACUGUGGCG